CGUGGAGACAGGUGGUGCAUGGCUGUCGUCAGCUCGUGUCGUGAGAUGUUGGGUUAAGUCCCGCAACGAGCGCAACCCUCACCUCUUGUUGCCAACAGGUCAUGCUGGGCACUCUAGAGGAACUGCCCCGGUCAACGGGGAGGAAGGCGGGGAUGACGUCAAGUCAUCAUGCCCCUUACGUCCUGGGCUACACACGUGCUACAAUGGCCGGUACAAAGGGAUGCCACACCGCGAGGUAGAGCUAAACCCAAAAAGCCGGUCUAAGUUCAGAUCGGAGUCUGCAACUCGACUCUAUGAAGGAGGAAUCGCUAGUAAUCGCGUAUCAGCACGACGCGGUGAAUACGUUCCCGGGCCUUGUACACACCGCCCGUCACACCACGAAAGCCUUACUGUACUCGAAGUCGCUGAG
rnacentral:rRNA from 1 species